UCGAAAAGCAACUGAGAAGGAAAGGGCGGGACAGACACUCCCACAUCGACCAGAAAGCAAGUCCUUGGCAGUGAAGAAUUAUCUACAGUUUGGGUGAUAUUUUAAGAAUUUAGAAAUCCACCGAAGAAUUGGGAGUUGUUGACGCUGCCGACAGAAGCCAACAACACACUUCAGUAACCAUGAACAAAAUCCUGUUCCUGACGAUAACGAUGAUGGUUCUCGUGGUCGUGGCGUGUUCCUUCCCCCAGAUCAUAACGCAGAGACGGAGGUUUCCUGGCGAGAGGCGCUUGGGAACCAUCAACUACGGGCAAUAUCGCUUCGGCAAGAGAGGAUACCAGAGGAAAUGCCACCCGAGAAAGAGAAGAUGCUUCUUUUAAUCAGAAAAACUAGGAGAGAACCGAAUUUCCUUCUAAAAGGCACGAACGCUUAGGAACACACCCUGUGUCGUCUGGCCCUUCUGCAGCCACGGGUCUUGGGUACAAAUUAAACUAUUCAGCAGCCAUGAUCUAAUCCCAGAGGAAGCCAAGCAAGGAAGGGCAAUACUCUGAUUGCUGGACAGGAUGAGGAAAGUUAGAAAAGAAAAAAGGGGAAAAUGGUAAUGGUAUUGGUAUCGUUACUGUCUUCACUUACUAUUAUUACAAGAAAAGUAAAGAAAAAAGAAAAAAAAGAAGAAAAUAGUAAUGAUAUGAGGUCCCAGUGCAAAAAAAAA